GCGUAGAGCAAAGGGCAAAGACUGGCUUGAUCUCGAUGUUCAAUAUGCAUAGAAACUGCGAAAGCACAGCCUAUCGAUCCUUUUGGCUUGAAAAGUUUUCAGCAAGAAGUGUCAGAAAAGUUACCACAGGGAUAACUGACUUGUGGCGGCCAAGCGUUCAUAGCGACGUCGCUCUUUGAUCCUUCGAUGUCGGCUCUUCCUAUCAUUGCGAAGCAGAAUUCGCCAAGCGUCGGAUUGUUCACCCGCCAAUAGGGAACGUGAGCUGGGUUUAGACCGUCUUGAGACAGGUUAGUUUUACCCUACUGAUGACUAGUCAUUGCGAUAGUAAUCCUGCUCAGUACGAGAGGAACCGCAGGUUCGGAUAUUUGGUUGACGCUUGGUCGAGCGGGCAAGGGUGCAAAGCUACCAUCCGUGGGAUUAGGCCUGAACGCUCUAAGGCCGUAUCCUCUCUAGUCAAAGGUGGCAAUGAUAUAUCUAGGAAUCUCGUGAGUAAAAGGCUCAAAACAAUGUGACACUACUAGGCGGCCGGUUGUCCUUUGCGGGGUGGACCAAUCGUCGCACGAGCCCGGUUUGCCGUACGGCGCCAUCGUCCGUCGUCGAGAUCUCACCGCCUACAAAGGCGCAACGUCUAACAGUCAAACAUGAGUUUUGCGAGUUCGAUGUCGAGACUCGGAAUCGUCUGUAGACGACUUAGGUACCUGGCGGGGUGUUGUAC
rnacentral:ncRNA from 1 species